rnacentral:rRNA from 1 species
GACGAACGCUGGCGGCGUGCCUAACACAUGCAAGUCGAACGAGGUCCAGGGAAGCUUGCUUCCUGAAGACCUAGCGGCGAACGGGUGAGUAACACGUGAGAAACCUGCCUCGGAGUGGGGAAUAACUCGGGGAAACUCGAGCUAAUACCGCAUACCUUCACAUGAUCGCAUGGUCGAGUGAAAGAAAGAAUUUCGCUCUGAGAGGGUCUCGCGGCCUAUCAGCUUGUUGGUGGGGUAACGGCCUACCAAGGCAACGACGGGUAGCUGGUUUGAGAGAACGAUCAGCCACACUGGGACUGAGACACGGCCCAGACUCCUACGGGAGGCAGCAGUGGGGAAUCUUGCGCAAUGGGCGAAAGCCUGACGCAGCAACGCCGCGUGCGGGAUGACGGCCUUCGUGGUUGUAAACCGCUUCUAGCAGGGACGAAAAUAGACGGUACCUGCAGAAGAAGACCCCGGCGUAACUACGUGCCAGCAGCCGC